CGGUUGAUCCUGCCGGACCCUACUGCUGUCGGGGUGGGACUAAAACAUGCAAGUCAAGCGGCUCCCAAGGUAAGUUGUAGAGGCGCGGCGUAGGGCUCAGUAACACGUGGCUAACCUACCCUUAGGACGGGGACAACCCCGGGAAACUGGGGCUAAUCCCCGAUAGGUGAGGAAUCCUGGAAUGGUUCCUCACCCAAAAGACGUUGAAACCAUGCUUUUCAGCGUCGCCUAAGGAUGGAGCCGCGGCCGAUCAGGUUGUUGGUGAGGCAAAGGCUCACCAAACCUACAACCGGUACGGGCCAUGAGAGUGGGAGCCCGGAGAUGGGCACUGAGACAAGGGCCCAGGCCCUACGGGGCGCAGCAGUUGCGAAAACUCACCAAUGCACGAAAGUGCGAGUGGGCUACCCCGAGUGCCGUCCGCUGAGGACGGCUUUUCCCCGCUGUAAGGAGGCGGAGGAAUAAGGAGAGGGCAAGACUGGUGUCAGCCGCCGCGGUAAUACCAGCUCUCCGAGUAGUAGGGACGAUUAUUGGGCCUAAAGCGUCCGUAGCCGGCCUGACAAGUCUCCCGUUAAAUCCAGCGACCCAAUCGCUGGGCUGCGGGAGAUACUGUCAGGCUUGGGAGCGGGAGAGGCCGACGGUAUUCCCGGGGUAGGGGUGAAAUCCUAUAAUCCCGGGAGGACCACCAGUGGCGAAGGCUGUCGGCUAGAACGCGUCCGACGGUGAGGGACGAAAGCUGGGGGAGCGAACCGGAUUAGAUACCCGGGUAGUCCCAGCUGUAAACGAUGCGGGCUAGGUGUCGGGGUGGCUACGAGCCACCCCGGUGCCGCAGGGAAGCCCAUAAGCCCGCCGCCUGGGAAGUACGGCCGCAAGGCUGAAACUUAAAGGAAUUGGCGGGGGAGCAC
rnacentral:rRNA from 1 species